rnacentral:rRNA from 1 species
GACGAACGCUGGCGGCGUGCCUAACACAUGCAAGUCGAACGGAGUGUUGCGCUGAUUUGAAGGUAGCUUGCUACUGAAUUUUCUUGUAACACUUAGUGGCGGACGGGUGAGUAACGCGUGAGCAACCUGCCUUACAGAGGGGGACAACAGUUGGAAACGACUGCUAAUACCGCAUAACGUAGCGAGGGGACAUCCCCAUGCUACCAAAGGAGCAAUCCGCUGUAAGAUGGGCUCGCGUCCGAUUAGAUAGUUGGUGAGGUAACGGCUCACCAAGUCGACGAUCGGUAGCCGGACUGAGAGGUUGAACGGCCACAUUGGGACUGAGACACGGCCCAGACUCCUACGGGAGGCAGCAGUGGGGGAUAUUGCACAAUGGAGGAAACUCUGAUGCAGCAACGCCGCGUGAGGGAAGAAGGUUUUCGGAUUGUAAACCUCUGUUUUUAGUGAAGAAACAAAUGACGGUAGCUAAAGAGGAAGCCACGGCUAACUACGUGCCAGCAGCCGCCGUAACAC